rnacentral:rRNA from 1 species
UACAGAGGUCUCAAGCGUUGUUCGGAUUCAUUGGGCGUAAAGGGUGCGUAGGCGGCGCGGUAAGUCGGGCGUGAAAUCCCUGGGCUCAACCCAGGAACUGCACUCGAAACUACUUGUCUUGAGUACCGGAGAGGAAAGCGGAAUUCCUGGUGUAGCGGUGAAAUGCGCAGAUAUCAGGAGGAACACCGGUGGCGAAGGCGGAUCUCUGGGCCAUUACUGACGCUGAGGAGCGAAAGCGUGGGGAGCGAACAGG